UGUGAAAUGCAGGACACAUGAACAUUGACAAUUCGAACGCACACUGCGGCCCUAG
rnacentral:rRNA from 1 species